UACAGAGGGUGCGAGCGUUGUCCGGAAUCACUGGGCGUAAAGGGCGUGUAGGCGGUUUGGUAAGUGGGAUGUGAAAUGCCUCGGCUCACCCGAGGACCGGCAUCCCAAACUGCCAAGCUUGAGUAUGGGAGAGGAUGUGGGAAUUCCUGGUGUAGCGGUGAAAUGCGUAGAUAUCAGGAGGAACACCGGUGGCGAAGGCGCACAUCUGGCCCAAUACUGACGCUGAGGCGCGAAAGCUAGGGGAGCAAACGGG
rnacentral:rRNA from 1 species